GAUGAAGAACGCAGCGAAAUGCGAUAAGUAAUGUGAAUUGCAGAAUUCAGUGAAUCAUCGAAUCUUUGAACGCACAUUGCGCCCGCCAGUAUUCUGGCGGGCAUGCCUGUUCGAGCGUCAUUUCAACCAUCAAGCCCCCGGCUUGUGUUGGGGACCUGCGGCUGCCGCAGGCCCUGAAAACCAGUGGCGGGCUCGCUGUCACACCGAGCGUAGUAGAUUUUCAUCUUGCUCAGGGCGUGCUGCGGGUUCCGGCCGUAAAAAGCCUUAUUUACCCAAGGUUGACCUCGGAUCAGGUAGGAAGACCCGCUGAACUUAAGCAUAUCAAUAAGCGGAGGA
rnacentral:misc_RNA from 1 species